ensembl:lncRNA
AGCGAGGCUCCGUGCAGCCGCUGCCCGGGCUCCGUGGGGCCGCCUUCGCCGCCGGAAGCCCAGCCCCGAAAUGGCGGCGUGCGUUUGACCGGCGGCUCGUUGACGCGGCGAGCGGGGCGGGGGCUGUCCCCUCUCCGAGGUAACGCCGGGGCAGCCGGCGGCGCCAGGCUUUCCCCGAUACCCUGAGAAGUCCUCUGCGGCAGGGGAACGUACACAGACAUUACGUUUUUUUGGAAGUUCUAGAUGUAAAUUCCUGUGAUCCAACCCAAGGAAACAUGAGAAAGCAGGAAGUGAGAUGAGGGAAGAACCUAAGUGUUAGAAAGAGAAAAGGAGAAAGGGGGAAAAAGUCUCAUACAAACCUCAAGCAUAACUGGCCCAGGUUUAUUGCUCAGCAGGAGAGCACCUUUUGCUGGGUCUAGCAUAUGGCCAACAGAAGCUAUGUCAGUGUCUGCAAACUCAGCAAAUUCUGAAGGAAACUGGAUUAGGAAGCCAUUGUAUGGAUUAUUUCAAUACAAUUCCAGUAUGAUUGGACUAGAAUCAUUAGCUGAUCCCACAGACACCUGGGAAAUUAUAGAGACUAUUGGAAAAGGCACUUAUGGUAAAGUCUAUAAGGUUGCCAAUAAGAAAGAUGGGAGUCUGGCAGCAGUAAAGAUUCUCGAUCCUAUUAGUGAUGUUGAUGAAGAAAUUGAAGCAGAAUAUAAUAUUUUGCAGUUUCUUCCCAAUCAUCCUAAUGUUGUUAGAUUUUAUGGGAUGUUCUACAAAGCCGAUCAAUAUGUGGGAGGACAGCUCUGGCUAGUACUUGAGCUGUGCAAUGGAGGGUCUGUCACAGAACUUGUCAAAGGUUUGCUGAAGUGUGGCCAACAAUUGGAUGAAGCUAUGAUCUCAUACAUCUUAUAUGGUGCUCUCUUGGGCCUUCAGCAUUUACACAAUAACCGGAUCAUUCAUCGAGAUGUCAAAGGGAACAACAUUCUUCUGACAACAGAAGGUGGAGUCAAGCUCGUUGACUUUGGUGUUUCAGCCCAGCUCACCAGUACACGGCUACGUAGAAACACCUCAGUGGGAACACCCUUUUGGAUGGCUCCUGAGGUCAUUGCUUGUGAACAGCAGUAUGACUACUCAUAUGAUGCUCGAUGUGACGUAUGGUCUUUGGGAAUAACAGCUAUUGAACUCGGAGAUGGAGACCCUCCUUUAUUUGACAUGCAUCCGGUGAAAACUCUUUUUAAAAUUCCAAGACUACUAUUUCUCUGUCUCAGGUGUCUUAUCAAGGAUUUCGAGAAACGUCCUACAGUCACCCACCUUUUGGAGCAUCCAUUUAUUAAACAAGUGCAUGGUAAAGAUAUGUCUCUGCAAAAACAGUUGGCUGAGCUUAUCCAAGAACAGCAGCGACUAGGCUCUGUAGCAAAAACAAGGCAUGAACGAAUACAUACCAAAAGACCCUACCAUGUGGAUGGAGCUGACAAGUACUCUCAAGAUGAUGAUCUGGUAAAUCUAGAAGUUCUUGAUGAGGAUACAAUUAUCCAUCAGCUGCAGAAACGCUAUGCUGACUUACAAAUUUAUACGUAUGUUGGAGAUAUUUUGAUAGCCUUAAACCCUUUCCAGAAUCUCAGCAUUUACUCUCCACAGUUCUCCAAGCUUUACCAUGGUAUGAAGCGCUCAUCCAAUCCCCCCCACAUAUUUGCCUCUGCAGAUGCUGCCUACCAAAGUAUGGUGACAUUCAGCAAAGAUCAGUGCAUUAUCAUCAGUGGGGAAAGUGGUGCUGGAAAGACAGAAAGUGCCCAUUUGAUCGUCCAACAUUUGACCUUCUUGGGAAAGGCCAAUAAUCGUGCUUUGCGUGAGAAAAUUCUUCAGGUGAAUCCUCUGGUUGAAGCAUUUGGGAAUGCCUGUACUGCCAUCAAUGACAACUCAAGUCGCUUCGGAAAAUAUCUGGAAAUGAUGUUUACACCCACAGGAGCUGUAAUGGGGGCAAAGAUUUCUGAGUAUCUACUUGAAAAGUCAAGGGUUAUAAAACAGGCUGUGGGAGAGAAAAAUUUCCAUAUAUUUUAUUAUAUUUAUGCUGGCCUUUAUCAUCAGAAGAAACUUUCUGAAUAUAGGCUUCCUGAAAAAAAGCCUCCUAGAUACAUUGAUAAUGAAACUGGAAGAGUAAUGCAUGAUAUUGUUACUAAGGAUUCCUAUGGAAGACAAUUUGAAGCAAUUCAGCAUUGCUUUAGAAGUAUAGGAUUCACUGAUGAGGAAGUGUAUUCAGUGUACAGAAUUCUGACUGGUAUCUUAAAUACUGGAAACAUCGAGUUUGCUGCCAUUUCUUCACAACACCAAACAGAUAAAAGUGAAGUUCCAAACCCAGAAGCCUUAGAUAAUGCUGCUGCACUGCUAAGUAUUGGGUCAGAAGAACUGCAAGAGGCCCUAACCUCCCACUGUGUUGUAACACGGGGGGAGACUAUUAUCCGAACAAACACUGUGGACAAAGCAGCUGACGUGCGAGAUGCCAUGUCUAAAGCACUUUAUGGCAGACUCUUCAGCUGGAUCGUAAAUCGCAUUAAUACGCUUCUUCAGCCAGAUAAAAAUAUAUGCAAUACUGAAAAUGGAAUGAAUGUUGGUAUACUAGAUAUAUUUGGAUUCGAGAACUUCGCAAGGAAUUCCUUUGAACAGCUGUGCAUAAAUAUUGCUAAUGAGCAGAUCCAGUUUUAUUUCAAUCAACAUAUUUUUGCACUUGAACAGAUGGAAUAUCAGAAUGAGGGAAUUGAUGCUGCUACAGUGGAGUAUGAAGACAACCGUCCACUUCUAGAUAUGUUCCUCCAGAAACCCAUGGGUCUCCUUUCUCUACUAGAUGAAGAAAGUCGAUUUCCUCAGGCAACAGACCUAACAUUAGUUGAUAAAUUUGAAGAUAACUUACGAUGCAAAUACUUCUGGAGACCAAAAGGAGUAGAAUUGUCAUUUGGUAUUCAGCACUAUGCUGGAAAGGUGAGGUCGUGUGAUUUUUAUUUAGUUAAAAUCAUAGUUUUUGUCCCUGCUGACAUAGUGGUGGUGCUGAGAACCUCAGAGAACAAACUUCUUCAGCAGCUGUUUUCUAGCCCACUAACCAAAACAGGUAACUUGGCACAGGCAAGAGCCAGAGUGACAGCGGCAUCUAGGUCUUUGCCUCCACAGCUUAGUGCUGGGCGUAUCAAGGUUGACACAAUGGAGGUUAUGCGACACCCUGAGGAAACAACUAACAUGAAGCGACAAACUAUGGCUUCCUAUUUUAGGUAUUCCCUCAUGGAUCUUCUAUCCAAAAUGGUUGUUGGACAGCCUCACUUUAUCCGCUGCAUUAAACCUAAUGAUGAUCGAGAAGCACUAACAUUUUCUCAUAAGAGAGUUCUACUGCAGCUACGAUACACUGGAAUUCUGGAAACCAUCAAAAUACGUCAAAAAGGAUAUUCUCAUCGCAUUCUUUUUGAAGAGUUUGUGAAAAGGUAUUACUACCUUGCUUUCAAGGCACAUGAGUCUCCACUUGGCAACAGAGAAAACUGUCUGACCAUUCUGGAGAAAGCUAAACUAGAAAACUGGAUUCUUGGAAAAACCAAGGUUUUUCUAAAGUAUUACCAUAUAGAGCAAUUAAAUUUGUUCCUGCGAGAAGUUAUAGGGAGGGUGGUGGUCAUGCAGGCUUAUAUCAAGGGAUGGCUUGGAGCAAGGAGGUAUAAGAAAGUCAAAGAAAAAAGAGAAAAUAGUGCUGUUACCAUACAGUCAGCUUGGAGAGGAUAUGAAGCUCGCAGGAAGUACAAGGAAAUAAGGAACAGAAGAAAUAAUGCUGCUAUACAUAUUCAAGCAGAUCAGUUACAGCACUUUUACUGCGUAAGCAAUGCUCAGUCACUCUCAUUUACUGAUAUGAGAGGGACCAGAAUCACUAGCCCCUUGGGUCCUUUUCUUGAAGAGGCUUAUAUGUGUUAUCUUACUGUAGGUUCAGAAAACUGUCUUGAACAGAAGCUGAGAACACCUCGUCGACGAUGUCAGCAGCCCAAAAUGCUGAAUAGCCCUGAGGACAACAUGUACUAUAACCAGUUAAAUGGAACUCUAGAAUAUCAAGGGAGCAAGAGGAAGCCAAGAAAACUUGGCCAAAUCAAAGUGCUUGAUGGAGAGGAUGAGUAUUACAAAUCACUGUCAGCUGUUGAAUCUAUCCCUGAAGAUGACAGCUGUCUCAGUUCCCCAUCUCCUCCUUCUUCAAGAGGAGUGUCUUUUGCUCAAAGCUGAACUUAUUCUGUUUACUAACACUGGUAAGAGUAUUUUCUUGCUGGUAAUCUCUUCUAAUUAACUUUGUGCUUGCUUAUGUAAUCCAUUUAAAAAAAUACACAUUCAGUUAGCAACUUCCUUUCAGUAAUUUAGAUCUGGUUUUGCAGAUACAAAUUGUAUUUCUAUAAGCAAUUCCAGUAAAGGAAGCAGCACUACCUGUACGUGUUGAUGUUGUUAACCAGCACAUUUCCUUAGCAGCAAGGUUAGUUCACGCAGAUCCAGCUCCUUCCUCCCCACUCCCCCAGCUGCUGUUUCCAGCUUGUGCCAUCCCGUCUGUUGUGCUGGCACAACUGCUGUGUGGAAAAUAAGAUCAAGGAACUGAUCUAUAUUAGAAGAACACUGUACUAAAAAGCAUCUUUUGGGGUUGUGGUGAAAAUGUUCUGUAUUUCCUUAGUCUAAUAUUAAAACUCUAUCAUUUAUAACUUUCUAUGCUGUGAAUGGUUUUUAACAUUACAAAAAUGUACAGAGUAAAUUCAUCUAAAGUAAUGCAUGUCUUAAUUUACCUCGUAAGUAUUUUUCUUAUGACGUAUUAGUUUGCCAUAAGUUUAACUAGAAAAACUAUUUCACAUAUAAGAAGCAAAACAGUUUUAAUGCUAACAUUAGACGAUUUCAGAUUGCUUCAUAUAGUCCUUUUGACUGAAACCAUCGUUAUGACUAGGUAUUCUUGUUAUCUGUGCAAGUAUCUUAUAUCUUUCUUAACCUGGGCUUAAUCUCUGUGCUUGAGGGAUUCCUCCACUUCCACAGCUCUUUUGUAUGUAACAUGAAAUAACGUCACCUACAAAUUUUUCAACUUGCUUUUCACUUUUUUUCCAAAUUCCUAGUGAAAACAUUGUUAAUUCCUAUGGAACAGAGACACUUUGCUGGUAACAACUUCUGUGGAAAAGCUGACUACUUUGCUUUACUUUCAGCUACUACUUUUGCUUUACUUUCACCCGUGGUUUUGAUCUGUGACAAUUCUGUCUUUCUUUUCUGUACAUCUCUUGUAAAAAACUUUUGGAAAUAAAAUUUUCUUAUGUGUACUGCCUUAAAAAAUC